rnacentral:rRNA from 1 species
CGCGAACGCUGGCGGCACGCCUAACACAUGCAAGUCGUGCGCAGGCUCGCUCCCUUUCGGGAGCGGGUGCUGAGCGGCAAACGGGUGAGUAACACGUGGGUAACCUACCCCCAGGAGGGGGAUAACCCCGGGAAACCGGGGCUAAUACCCCAUAAUGCCACCCACCACUAAGGUGUGGUGGCCAAAGGGGGCCUCUGGGGCUUUAUGCCCUAAGCUCCCGCCUGGGGAUGGGCCCGCGGCCCAUCAGGUAGUUGGUGGGGUAACGGCCCACCAAGCCGAUGACGGGUAGCCGGCCUGAGAGGGUGGCCGGCCACAGCGGGACUGAGACACGGCCCGCACCCCUACGGGGGGCAGCAGUGGGGAAUCGUGGGCAAUGGGCGCAAGCCUGACCCCGCGACGCCGCGUGGGGGAAGAAGCCCUUCGGGGUGUAAACCCCUGUCGGGGGGGACGAUGGGACCGUGGGCUAAUACCUCACGGUCCUGACGGUACCCCCAGAGGAAGGGACGGCUAACUACGUGCCAGCAGCCGCGGUAAUACGUA